CCUACGGGAGGCUGCAGUGGGGAAUAUUGCGCAAUGGGGGAAACCCUGAUGCAGCGAUGCCGCGUGAGUGAAGAAGUAUCUCGGUACGUAAAGCUCUAUCAGCAGGGAAGAAAAUGACGGUACCUGACUAAGAAGCCCCGGCUAACUACGAGCCAGCAGCCGCGGUAAUACGUAGGGGGCAAGCGUUGUCCGGAUUUACUGGGGGUAAAGGGAGGGUAGACGGCAGCACAAGUCUGGAGUGAAGUCCCGGGGCUUAACCCCGGAACUGCUUUGGAAACUGUGCGGCGUGAGUGCAGGAGGGGUAAGCGGAAUUCCUAGUGUAGCGGUGAAAUGCGUAGAUAUUAGGAGGAACACCGGUGGCGAAGGCGGCUUACUGGACUGUAACUGACGUUGAGGCUCGAAAGCGUGGGGAGCAAACAGGAUUAGAUACCCCUGUAGUC
rnacentral:rRNA from 1 species